rnacentral:rRNA from 1 species
AAAAACAUGUCUUUUUGAGAAAGAAUUUAAAGUCGGGCCUGCCCACUGAAGAUAAUUGAAGGGCCGCGGUAUUUUGACCGUGCAAAGGUAGCAUAAUCAUUAGUCUUUUAAUUGAAGGCUGGAAUGAAUGGUUUGACGAAGUAUUAACUGUCUCUUUACAAAAAAUCUGUAGAAUUUAACUUUUGAGUUAAAAGGCUUAAAUAAUAAUAAGGGACGAGAAGACCCUAUAGAGUUUUAUAUAAAUAAUAAAUUGAUUUAUUUGGAGGUUGAGAUUUUUAUUUAUUAUUUGUAUUGUGUUGGGGUGACAUAAAGAUAAAAGGAACUCUUUAUUAAUUAGUACAUAAAUUUAUGGGUAAUUGAUCCAUUAUUAAUGAUUACAAGAUAAAAUUACCUUAGGGAUAACAGCGUAAUUUUUCUUAAGAGUUCAUAUCGAAAGAAAAGUUUGCGACCUCGAUGUUGGAUUAAGAUAAUGAUUAGGUGUAGCAGCUUAAUUAAUAAGUCUGUUCGACUUUUAAAAUCUUACGU